AUUGAACGCUGGCGGCAGGCCUAACACAUGCAAGUCGAACGGUAACAGGAAGAAGCUUGCUUCUUUGCUGACGAGUGGCGGACGGGUGAGUAAUGUCUGGGAAACUGCCUGAUGGAGGGGGAUAACUACUGGAAACGGUAGCUAAUACCGCAUAACGUCGCAAGCCCAAAGAGGGGGACCUUCGGGCCUCUUGCCAUCGGAUGUGCCCAGAUGGGAUUAGCUAGUAGGUGGGGUAACGGCUCACCUAGGCGACGAUGCCUAGCUGGUCUGGGAGGAUGACCAGCCACACUGGAACUGAGACACGGUCCAGACUCCUACGGGAGGCAGCAGUGGGGAAUAUUGCACAAUGGGCGCAAGCCUGAUGCAGCCAUGCCGCGUGUAUGAAGAAGGCCUUCGGGUUGUAAAGUACUUUCAGCGGGGAGGAAGGGAGUAAAGUGAAUACCUUUGCUCAUUGACGUUACCCGCAGAAGAAACACCGGCUAACUCCGU
rnacentral:rRNA from 1 species